rnacentral:rRNA from 1 species
GACGAAGGUGGCAAGCGUUGCUCGGAAUCACUGGGCAUAAAGCGCGCGUAGGUGGCUUGAUAAGUCGGUGGUGAAAUCCCAUGGCUCAACCAUGGAACUGCCGUCGAUACUGUCAGGCUUGAGGGCGGUAGGGGAGAGUGGAACUCCUGGUGUAGCGGUGAAAUGCGUAGAUAUCAGGAGGAACGCCGGUGGCGAAAGCGACUCUCUGGGCCGUUCCUGACACUAAAGCGCGAAAGCUAGGGGAGCAAACAGGAUUAGAUACCCUGGUAGUCCUAGCUGUAAACGAUGGGCACUAGGUAGAGGUGGUUUCGAAGCCUUCUCUGCCGGAGCUAAUGUAUUAAGUGCCCCGCCUGGGGAGUAUGGUCGCAAGGCUAAA